UGGUGGAGUGAUUUGUCUGGUUAAUUCCGUUAACGAACGAGACCUCGACCUGCUAAAUAGUUGAUUGAACCUCUCGGGGUUUGCAUUAACUUCUUAGAGGGACUUUUAGUGAAUAGCUAAAGGAAGUUCGAGGCAAUAACA
rnacentral:rRNA from 1 species